GCGUAGAUCAGUCGGUAGAGCACGAGACUCUUAAUCUCAGGGAGGUGGGUUAAAGCCCCACAUUGGGCA